UACAGAGGGUGCAAGCGUUGUCCGGAUUUAUUGGGCGUAAAGCGCGUGUAGGCGGCCACGCAGGUCCGCUGUGAAAACUUGAGGCUCAACCUCGAGCUGUCGGUGGAAACCGCGUGGCUAGAGUCCGGAAGAGGGGACUGGAAUUCCCGGUGUAGCGGUGGAAUGCGCAGAUAUCGGGAGGAACACCCGUGGCGAAGGCGGGUCCCUGGGACGGUACUGACGCUGAGACGCGAAAGCGUGGGGAGCGAACAGG
rnacentral:rRNA from 1 species